rnacentral:lncRNA from 1 species
GGAGACAUUUGAUUCGGGGGUUGGAAGCCUGAAUGCCCCACCACCACCUAGACCUGUGCUUGAGGUUGGAAGCAUAAACACUCCAUCUCCUCCUAGACCCGUGCUUGGGGUUGGAAGCAUGAAGGCCUCACCUCCGCCUAGACCUGCGUUUGGGGUUGGAGGACUGAACACCCCACCACCUCCUACACCCGUGCUUGGAGUUGGAAGCAUGAACGCCUCAACUCCUUCUAGACCUGCGUUUGGGGUUGGAGGACUGAACACCCCACCACCUCCUACACCCUUGCUUGGAGUUGGAAGCAUGAACGCCUCAACUCCUUCUAGACCUGUGUUUGGGGUUGGAGGACUGAACACCCCACCACCUCCUACACCCGUGCUUGCAGUUGGAAGCAUGAAUGCCCCAUCUGCUAGACCUGUUCUUGGGGUUGGAAGCCAGACCACCCCACCUCUUAGACCGCCCACUACUAUAGUGACUGAGGAUUGGGAACAAUUCGAAUAGAGUAGC